AGCGAACGCUGGCGGCAGGCCUAACACAUGCAAGUCGAACGGAUCCUUCGGGAUUAGUGGCGGACUGGUGAGUAACACGUGGGAACGUGCCCUUUGGUUCGGAACAACUCAGGGAAACUUGAGCUAAUACCGGAUGUGCUCUUCGGGGGAAAGAUUUAUCGCCAUUGGAGCGGCCCGCGUCCGAUUAGCUAGUUGGUGAGGUAACGGCCCACCAAGGCGACGAUCAGUAGCUGGUCUGAGAGGAUGAUCAGCCACACUGGGACUGAGACACGGCCCAGACUACUACGGGAGGCAGCAGUGGGGAAUCUUGCGCAAUGGGCGAAAGCCUGACGCAGCCAUGACGCGUGAAUGAUGAAGGUCUUAGGAUUGUAAAAUUCUUUCAGCGGGGACGAUAAUGACGGUACCCGCAGAAGAAGCUCCGGCUAACUUCGUG
rnacentral:rRNA from 1 species